rnacentral:rRNA from 1 species
GACGACCGGCGCACGGGUGCGUAACGCGUAUAGAACCUACCUUAUAGUAAGGGAUAGCCCAGAGAAAUUUGGAUUAAUACCUUAUAGUAUGAUAAGAUGGCAUCAUUUAAUCAUUAAAGAUUUAUUGCUAUAAGAUGGCUAUGCGUUCUAUUAGCUAGUUGGUAUGGUAACGGCAUACCAAGGCAACGAUAGAUAGGGGUCCUGAGAGGGAGAUCCCCCACACUGGUACUGAGACACGGACCAGACUCCUACGGGAGGCAGCAGUGAGGAAUAUUGGACAAUGGAGGCAACUCUGAUCCAGCCAUGCCGCGUGUAGGAAGACUGCCCUAUGGGUUGUAAACUACUUUUAUAGAGGAAGAAACAGUUCCACGUGUGGAACUCUGACGGUACUCUACGAAUAAGGAUCGGCUAACUCCGUGCCAGCAGCCGCGGUAAUACGGAGGAUCCAAGCGUUAUCCGGAAUCAUUGGGUUUAAAGGGUCCGUAGGCGGGUCUGUAAGUCAGUGGUGAAAGUUUUCGGCUCAACCGGAAAAUUGCCAUUGAUACUGCAGGUCUUGAAUCAUUAUGAAGUGGUUAGAAUAAGUAGUGUAGCGGUGAAAUGCAUAGAUAUUACUUAGAAUACCGAUUGCGAAGGCAGAUCACUAAUAAUGUAUUGACGCUAAGGGACGAAAGCGUGGGUAGCGAACAGGAUUAGAUACCCUGGUAGUCCACGCCGUAAACGAUGGUUACUAGCUGUUCGGACUUCGGUCUGAGUGGCUAAGCGAAAGUGAUAAGUAACCCACCUGGGGAGUACGUUCGCAAGAAUGAAACUCAAAGGAAUUGACGGGGGCCCGCACAAGCGGUGGAGCAUGUGGUUUAAUUCGAUGAUACGCGAGGAACCUUACCAGGCUUAAAUGUAGUAUGACAGGUUUAGAGAUAGACUUUUCUUC